UCUCUCAUCCUAAAUGUACAGCAGCCGUUCGACAAACAUCAUUUAGUAAAGAUGGAAGAUCCCACAAGAAUGGAGUUGUGAAAGUCCCUUUACCACCUGUGUCAUUCACUUCAAUUACUCUUACUAGUUUGUCAUUACUCAUGUGUCAUGGUGAUUUAUGGCCAAGAAUGUUCAUUUGUAGUUUGGAUUCUUUGUUGAUGUCAGUUGUUUGUUCAUAUAAUGAUGAUGGGCCCCAUUGUUAUAUGAACCCACCUUAAAGGUGGUCAACUGAUACUCACAGAAGAUCAACUCUGCACUAAGCAUUCUUUGAGUAAUGAUAAAACUGGGGUAUUGAAAGGCGGUCCCUUUUCCUUCGCUUGAAGUUACCAUAACACUGCAUUGUGAAUUGUUGUCUAUCGAAAUGGCGAUUCAUAAUAUCAGUAGCUACCUUAUUGGUUGACGAUGCUCCUUACUUCGUGUAUGGAAUGGUAUCGACAUGUUGAAUGGACAUCGCAUAACGGCAUAUGUACGUAUGAACAUUUACAUUGAAGUGAUUGCACUAUAAAAAGGGACAACAAAGAUGGAAAACAAGCGAGUGGAAAAACACGAUCUAUAUCUUGUGGUUUGUAAGUUGAGUAGAUAUAAGUGUUAAAAUUAACUUGUAUGAGUAACUGCAUGAGAUAGUUAAAAAGGAUCCUGAUGGUCUAUCUUUAUAAUUUGAAACUUAACCAUGAAAAACACCCAACUUAAAAAAGUGUCAAUAAAAGAUGUCACUUGCUGUGAGAAAA